CGGAAUCUGCCUAUUUGUGGGGGAUAACGUAGGGAAACUUACGCUAAUACCGCAUACGACCUACGGGUGAAAGCGGAGGACCUUCGGGCUUCGCGCAGAUAGAUGAGCCGAUGUCGGAUUAGCUAGUUGGCGGGGUAAAGGCCCACCAAGGCGACGAUCCGUAGCUGGUCUGAGAGGAUGAUCAGCCACACUGGAACUGAGACACGGUCCAGACUCCUACGGGAGGCAGCAGUGGGGAAUAUUGGACAAUGGGCGCAAGCCUGAUCCAGCCAUGCCGCGUGGGUGAAGAAGGCCUUCGGGUUGUAAAGCCCUUUUGUUGGGAAAGAAAAGCAGUCGGUUAAUACCCGAUUGUUCUGACGGUACCCAAAGAAUAAGCACCGGCUAAUUUCGUGCCAGCAGCCGCGGUAAUACGAAGGGUGCAAGCGUUACUCGGAAUUACUGGGCGUAAAGCGUGCGUAGGUGGUUUGUUAAGUCUGAUGUGAAAGCCCUGGGCUCAACCUGGGAAUUGCAUUGGAUACUGGCAGGCUAGAGUGCGGUAGAGGGUAGUGGAAUUCCCGGU
rnacentral:rRNA from 1 species